rnacentral:rRNA from 1 species
GAUGAACGCUGGCGGCGUGCCUAAUACAUGCAAGUCGAACGCUGAAGGAGGAGCUUGCUCUUCUGGAUGAGUUGCGAACGGGUGAGUAACGCGUAGGUAACCUGCCUGGUAGCGGGGGAUAACUAUUGGAAACGAUAGCUAAUACCGCAUGACAACAGUUAUUGCAUGAUAACUGUUUAAAAGGGGCAACUGCUCCACUACCAGAUGGACCUGCGUUGUAUUAGCUAGUUGGUGAGGUAACGGCUCACCAAGGCGACGAUACAUAGCCGACCUGAGAGGGUGAUCGGCCACACUGGGACUGAGACACGGCCCAGACUCCUACGGGAGGCAGCAGUAGGGAAUCUUCGGCAAUGGACGGAAGUCUGACCGAGCAACGCCGCGUGAGUGAAGAAGGGUGUCGGAUCGUAAAGCUCUGUUGUAAGAGAAGAACGAGUGUGAGAGUGGAAAGUUCACACUGUGACGGUAUCUUACCAGAAAGGGACGGCUAACUACGUG